GCCUGGGUAUAUGGUGAAGGCCAAAACUAUAAUUGGGUUCAAAAAAGAAUUAGAUAAGUUCAUGGAGGACAGAUCCAUCAAUGGCUAUUAGCCAGGAUGUCAGGGACGUAAUCCCAUGCUUUGGAUGUCUGUAAGCCUCUGAUUGCUAGAUGCUGGGACUCGAUCACAGGAGAUGGAUCACUUGAUAAUUGCCCCUGUUCUGUUUAUUCCCUUUGAAGCAUCUGGCAUUGGCCGCUGUCGGAAGACAGGAUAUUGGGCUAGACGGACCAUUGGUCUGACCCAGUGCAGCCAUUCUUAUGUUCUUAAGGAAAAUAAAUCCUCUUUCUUCACAAAACAGAGGAUCUGGAAAACACAACAAGAUUGUAAACCCUCUGGAUAGUAGGAAUCCUGGAACUAGUAGAAUCUGGGAGCCUUAAGCAGAUUUCACAGAGGGACUUUACUUUUAAAUUUAGUUUGUAUUUGUUUUGAUAAUAAAACAUAGCAAUGAUUUUAAGAGCAUUAUUACAGGUCUCAAUACAGUUUCACAUGGGCCACAUAACACAAAGGUCUGAUAAAUGUAGCAGGAUCCAUUAAAAAAAUAAAAUGAAACAGGACUUUUAAACACAAUUUUUUUAUAGACUAGCUGUGAUGCAUCUAGCAGAAGUGUUGCUUUGUCCUGUGUUCUGUGGGUAAUUGUAAUAACUUCCAUUUACAUACGCACUCUAUUCUCCAAAGUGCAAUACAGACCAUAUUUAUAGGUAUUGUUUCACCUGGUACUGGAGUGUAGCCACCUUUGGAGAGGAAUACAGAAACACAAUCAACACUACAUAGCAGUUUAGCAUAGGAUGUGAAGAACAACAGAAUAGUUAAAACAGAAAGAGGAACUUAGGGCAGCAGAAUACAAUCACCCCCACUGGAAUUUGCCUCAGACACUGGAGCUACUCUUGGGAAAAGAGCCCUAGGAUCUUUAAUGUCUAUAAGUGGUCAGUAUCAUCUCACUUUUAUGUUUCGUCCAGCAGCACAUAUCCUUUAACAGAAUGCUGAGGCCUUGAUUCAGCACCAUCUCAGAGUAAAACAUAGCAUCUAGCGCCACCUGGGUUUUCCUUGGAGGUCUCAUAUCCAAGUACUAAUCAAGCCCAACCAUGAUUUGCUCGUGAGAGCUGAUGAGAUCUUGGCCCAUCUGAAGGCAUGAAGUGAAAAACUGCUUGAUUUUAUUUUGUUUUAAAGUUUGUCAAGCAAUUUGAUUUGUGAUUUGGAAAAAUGUUUGGGACAGUAUUCAGCUUGCUCAAACCUGUUUACACAUCCCUGUUACCUACCUACCUCAGAAACACAGAUCAGCACAGACCAGAAGAACACUGGAUCUGAACCCAAAAUUUUAUCUCAGAACCACUUUUAUAAAGUUGAUCCAAACUGUAACCCUGACUGCAAAGCCCCUUGAAGUUAGGGGCAGUUCAGAGCUGUACUUAGUACCCAUAAGAUGGUGUCUAACUGGAACACCAGAACCUGCCAGUGUUGUACUCUGAAAAAGUUUGGAUCGAAAUCAACGUUCAGGCUAAUCUCUUAUCAGAAAUACAGACAAAGUUAUGAAAAGAAUAGAAGUAGUUUCUCCUUUGGAACCAGACACUUUUUGAUGAUUGAUUCUGAUAGUCUUUUUUUUCUAAAAUGUCCCCGAUGGGUUAACUUACUAUACAGUAAAACCUCAAGCAAAAAUAAAAUCAAAUAAGUCAGUGCAGUUCUAAUUAUUUUUUCCAGCUGUCUUGAGGGAACAGGCAGCAUUUGCCUGCUGUCUUCUUUUAUUUGCAAUCACAGUUGAAAUCCAUAGCAACAUUAAUUAGAGGAGUCUGAAAAAAAUGUAUAAAUCUUUACUGGAAAAUUUUAAAACCUGAUAUUCCUAUGUAGGGAUGCUUUAUCUUUGCCUGACGACUGAAAUCAAAUAUGGUACUGUAUCCAUUUACUAUUUGAUACAACCUCUGUCAGGGGACUCUGUUCUACAUCUGCAGGGAGAUGGAAUCAAUUAUAUUUCUGUCUUUUCUGUUUCUAACUGCUAUGAACUUAUAUAUCGGAGGAGAGGUUGCCUUUUGUGCCUGCAGUCUAAUAUUUAUUGUUAAUAAUAAUAGGCCAAACCCCUUAUGCUUCACUAGCAUCUGUUUUGUCUUGCCUGGUUUCACCUUUGGCAGGACACAGCAAAACUCUCAGUGUUCAUGGGCAGAAAAUGAUGUAAUGUCCUUGUUGUGGUGGCAGUUGUUAGCAGUGGCAGCCCCACUAUCAUAGACAUCAAGAGGCAUCAAUCCAUUAAGCAACAUGCAAAUGUGAUUUGAGGAGUUUGCCCUUUACAUUCCAGAAGUUUCAUAUUUGCUGCUUGGUUUUCCCUACUUUGUUUCCCUAAGUGGUUUGCAGGUGAACUAUGGUUCUGUAUAUCUGGUACUACAGUCUGAACUCCUGGGGGAAUUCUCUGUUACUGUGCGCAUGCAUAAUUAAUGAGACGCACAUAUUUUUAUUUUUUUGUGCAGAAAAAAAACUUCUGCCAAUAUGUUGUUGUAGUUCCACCUUUUGUCCACCAGAGAGCACUGUGGCGCAAGAACAGCAGCAGCUCCCAGCAGAAAAUAACUUCUGCAGUUCUGCCUUUUGCCCAGCAGAGGGUGCUGUGGCAAUAGAACACAGCAGCAGCUCCUGGCCAGCGAGGGAAGAAAAAGAGCUUGCCUUCUUCCCAGCGUCUGUCAGGCCAGGGUGGAGAGAGGGGACAUGACUCUGAUGCAGUGAAUCCAAAGGGAAACUUUAUUCAGUCUUCUGGACACUGGUUCUUCCUUAUUUCCCUGAUUUGCUGAAAUAGCCUGCAGUGCCUACAGUCACCACAUGAAGUCUCCCUAAAUCUUGGCCAGAACCACUGGAAGCUCCUGGAUGGAAUAUCAGGCCUGUUCAGCUCUGCCACUGACUCACAGUGGAUUCCAGAUGACAAGAUUCCAUCAAGGAUUUCCCAAGGAACUGGCUAAAUCUCAGCAUUCUGACAAAUACUAAAGCACGCACUUACAAAAUAAAUACAUUCAUAUUUUUAAUAUGGGGAGGGGGACACAUCAAGGGUGAAAGCAAAGCAGCUGCAAAGGCACAAGGCCUCCAUAUAUAUAUGGCCCUGAACUCCUGCAGAUUCCCCAGGAUCCUUACAGAUCUCUGAGGAUCUGCUAAGUUUGAAGGCAGGGUUUGCAGCCAAUUCCAUGAGGGGCAAACCCUAACUCAAAACAAAAUGAUCAGGGAGGAAAUCUGCCAGAAGAUGUUGAUGGAGUUUUUCCAUACAUUGGGAUGAUCCUACAGCCCAGACAGUCAUUAUGGGAGAGCCUGCUGGUUCGCUGAAGGUUGAAAUGCAGCUGUUUUCUGCCGUUCUAUGAGCUUUGCUACUGUUUUAUUCAAUAUCUGUUCCUGGUCAAACAAUACCACGAACUAUGUCAUAUUGUAAAUAAAUAUAGAGUAGGAAGGAAUAAUCUGAUCCUGGGUCCACUGACUUCUCUCUCAAAUGAAGAAAACCCCGCUCCUAGAGUCCAUAUAUGUUCUGACCCCUCAGAAAUUGUGGCAGUAUGCAGAUACGUUCUAGUGUUGAAGGCAGUAUGUCCUAGUGGCUAGAGCACUGGACUGGCACUCAAGAGACCUGGGCUCCAUUCUAGUCCCAGCCCUGCCACUGGUUUGCUGGGUGACCUUGGGCAAAUCACUUCGCCUUCCUGUGCCUCGGUUUCCCCAAUUGGGUAAAAUGGGGAUCAUGAAGUUCUUUGAGAUCUGUGGAUAAAAACUACUGUAUCAGAGAUGGUGUAGUCCAGUGGUCACCAAUGUGGUGCCCGUGGGUGCCAUGAUGCCCGCCAGGGUAUUUAUGUGCACCCGCCAUCAGGGCUGGCGCCAAGGAACGAAGAGGAGAGGAGCGCUUCCAGCGGAGAAGCGUUGCCACUGAAAUGCCGCCGAGAAGUGUCACUGCCCGUCACACUCUUCUAAAGGCAUGAAUGUGCUCCUGGCCACAGAAAGGUUGUAGUCCUAUCAGAUGAUAACAUUCUUUCUGUUCCACUAAUAUCUCAGGAAGAUGUUAAGCAGCAGCUACUAAAGCUAGCCAUUUUAAAUCAGCAGAUCCAGAUAACUGGCAUCCAAGAAUUUUAAAAGAGCUGUCUGGGAAGCUCAUUGGACCAUUAAUGUUGAUUUUCAAUAAGUCGUGAAACACUAGGGAUGUUCCAGAAGACUGAAAAAAAGCUAAUGUCCUGGCAACAUUUAAAAAAGUAAACAGGACAACCCAGGUAAUUUUUGGCCUGCCUGUCUGACAUCAAUCCUGGGCAAGAUAAUGGAGCAUCUGAUAUGGGACUCAAUAAAAAAUUAAAUGAGGUUAAUAUAAUUAAUGCCUAUUGACAUUGGCUUAUGGAAAAGAGAUCCUGUCAAACUAUCUUGAUAUCUUCUUUAUGAGAUUACAAGUUUGGCUGAUAACUGCAUAGUGUUUAUAUAACAUACUUAGACUUUUGUAAGGCAUUUGACUUAGUGCUGCAUGAUAUUUUGAUUAAAAAACUAGAACAAUACAUGGUACACAUUAAAUUAAUUAAAAGCUGGCUAACUGAUAGUUCUCAAAAUGUAAUUGUAAAUGGGGAAUAAUCAUUGAACCGGUAUGUUUCUAAUGGAGUCCACAGGGAUCGGUUCUUGGCCCUAUGCUAUUGAAAGCUCUUCGCGCUGCAGCUCUGGGGCCAGAGAAACUCACUCUCCCUGCUGUGGCCUCCGAGCCAGAGGAGUUCUGCACCUCCGAUGCAGCCUCAGGGCCAGGGGAUCUCUCUGCCCCUUCCAUGGCCCCAGGGCUGGAGGAGCUGUCCUUCCCCCUCUCUUUUGGUAUAAUGAAUCCCUGGCUAUAAUGGCCAAAUGGCUUGGAUCCCCAGGGGUUCAUUAUAGAAAGGGUGUACUGUAUUUUCUCAUAACAUGUGUGUUUAACAUAGCGUGUGUUUAACAUGCCCCUCCAAAAGCAGUCAAAUUUACUUUCCUGCACAUGCCCCUGGAUGGGCCCUAUAUACACAAUUAAUAAAGUGUUUUCAAUAAGAAGAAAGGCACCAUGGAAAUGUAAGGUUACUGUUCUCUCAGAAUUCUUUCAGAAGUCUGAGCAAGACCUAAAAUCAGGUGCCAAUCCUGCAGGCUGAUCUGCCUGGGCAGGUGCUUGUGCUUGCACAAACCCUCACUUGAAUCCAACAUAUGCUCACCUGGAUCAGUUUACAGGGCUGUGGUAAAGAGAGCUAAUUGAAAUGACAGGGGCUGGAGGCUGAAUGGAACUGAAACACUUACAAAAAACUCAAAACCUAACCACGCAUAAGACAGAGAUAUUUGAGAUAAAACCCUUGAAAAUGUGGGAUGAGGUUUUAUAGAUUCACUAAAAUAGCUCAUCCUAUUGCUUUGCACGUAUGAAACUAUGAUGUUGAAUGGUAGUUUUAAUGAAGAAUUUUUCCUAAUAGGAUCAUUAAUCAUUUUUGGUAGAAAUGUGCAUGUAUUGAGACACUAAUGUGCCUUAGUUUAAAGCACGUUAUGUAAAUGCUGUUAAAAUACUUUCAGCUCAGUGUUUAUAUAUUAUGAUAUUAAACCUGUUUGUGAUGUUUUA